AUUGUGCCAGCGGCCGCGGUAAUACGUAGGGUGCGAGCGUUAAUCGGAAUUACUGGGCGUAAAGCGUGCGCAGGCGGUUUUGUAAGACAGGCGUGAAAUCCCCGGGCUCAACCUGGGAACUGCGCUUGUGACUGCAAGGCUAGAGUAUGGCAGAGGGGGGUGGAAUUCCACGUGUAGCAGUGAAAUGCGUAGAGAUGUGGAGGAACACCAAUGGCGAAGGCAGCCCCCUGGGCCAAUACUGACGCUCAUGCACGAAAGCGUGGGUAGCAAACAGGAUUAGAUACCCUGGUAGUCCACGCCCUAAACGAUGUCAACUAGGUGUUGGGUGGGUAAAACCAUUUAGUACCGGAGCUAACGCGUGAAGUUGACCGCCUGGGGAGUACGGCCGCAAGGUUAAAACUCAAAGGAAUUGACGGGGACCCGCACAAGCGGUGGAUGAUGUGGAUUAAUUCGAUGCAACGCGAAAAACCUUACCUACCCUUGACAUGUCCAGGAGCCUGAAGAGAUUUGGGUGUGCCCGAAAGGGAACUGGAACACAGGUGCUGCAUGGCUGUCGUCAGCUCGUGUCGUGAGAUGUUGGGUUAAGUCCCGCAACGAGCGCAACCCUUGUCGUUAAUUGCCAUCAUUUAGUUGGGCACUUUAACGAGACUGCCGGUGACAAACCGGAGGAAGGUGGGGAUGACGUCAAGUCCUCAUGGCCCUUAUGGGUAGGGCUUCACACGUCAUACAAUGGUCGGUACAGAGGGUUGCCAAGCCGCGAGGUGGAGCCAAUCCCAGAAAGCCGAUCGUAGUCCGGAUUGCAGUCUGCAACUCGACUGCAUGAAGUCGGAAUCGCUAGUAAUCGCGGAUCAGCAUGUCGCGGUGAAUACGUUCCCGGGUCUUGUACACACCGCCCGUCACACCAUGGGAGCGGGUUUCACCAGAAGCCGGUCGCCUAACCGCAAGGGGGGCGCCGACCACGGUGAGAUUCGUGACUGGGGUGAAGUCGUAACAAGGUAACCAAU
rnacentral:rRNA from 1 species